GUUAUGAGUGGACAAUAUUUCUUUCUUGCAGUCUUAGCUUGAAAAAGAUGCUCAAUCUCAUAUUUGAUUGAACACAUCAGGAAUGAAAAGAUUUAAGAAAUUUUUCUCACUUAUAACUACGGAUGAAAAAGGUUUUUGAGAAACACCCAGAUAUAGGAAGACUGAAAUAAAGGACAGACCAUGUAGGAAGAAAAACUGAAACAUUUUAUUCAUGAGUGAUACUAAACUUCUUCAAUGUCUGCCAAGAUUUCACCAAGAAAGGAAUUGCCAACAGCCAUUAGAAUUAAAGAUGUGUUUUAGAAUGUUGCAUAUAGAAAAUCCCUCUAGCUGAAGACAGGAUCUUUUCUAUGUCUGUUGUUGGUAGGUGAAUAUUCCACUGGAUUUUUUCUUUCUCUCAUUCUUUCCUUUCUAUUUUUUUUUUGUUGUUGUUGUUCAAUUGCCUCUUUGAUUCACUGAGAGAUAUUUGACAAGAAGUAGGAUGAA
rnacentral:lncRNA from 1 species